rnacentral:misc_RNA from 1 species
CAGCAAGUGCCAGUUCUACAUGGAUAUGUUGCAAGCAUGCCGCAGGGGCUAUGGGGCUGCAUUGGGUGCUUGAAGUUGAUUGUGAUGAAAUCCUUUUAUCCAUCUUGUAGUUAGUGUUUGAUAGGUGAUGUUUUGUCUUAAUCUUGUGAUCUGACGGAAACGGUUUUUUUAGCUGGUUCAACUCACCACUCUUAUGCAUGUUCUAAAGAAUAUAAACUAAACCUGGAAAGCUGAUUAGCAGUAUUUGAUUUUCCAAUUCUAUAUUUUGC